ensembl:miRNA
UUUUAAGGAACAUAUUCUUUUAUUAAAGGGAUUUGUUCUGUGAAGUUUGUAUU